UACAGAGGGUGCGAGCGUUAAUCGGAAUUACUGGGCGUAAAGCGCACGUAGGUGGCGACGUAAGUCGGGUGUGAAAGCCCCGGGCUCAACCUGGGAAUUGCAUUCGAGACUGCAUUGCUGGAGUACGGAAGAGGGGGGCGGAAUUCCCGGUGUAGCGGUGAAAUGCGUAGAUAUCGGGAGGAACAUCAGUGGCGAAGGCGGCCCUCUGGUCCAGUACUGACACUCAAGUGCGAAAGCGUGGGGAGCAAACAGG
rnacentral:rRNA from 1 species